UCUCAGAUAGUAUAGUGGUUAGUAUUCCAGCUUGUCAUUUCGACAAUUCAACCCGCUGGAGACGGAGGUUCGACUCCUUCUCUGAGAG